UCUCUUCUAUUUUAUUAUUUUCUUCAAGAGAGCUUCAUGAUUUUAUUUUUUGCUCAACCAAUUGUUUAAUUCUAUGACAAUCGCUGGUUCUCGCUUACUUUCAGAUGUUUGUUUAAUGCUUCUACAAUAUCUAAUAUUAGUUACAAAAAAAGAAGUUGUAUCUAUUUAAGAAUUUUGGUAACUCAUCAAUCAACAGUUGGAAUGGCGGAACAUGUUCUGGCUCGUGCUCACAGCUUCCGCGAGCAUUUGGAUGCCACAAUAGUUGAUCAUCGCGAUGAGAUACUGCUAUUUUUAUCAAGGUGGCGACAGAAGGAAAGAAUCCAAAGAUUUGGAAGAAGAAGCUGAAAUGAAGAAGAUGCACAACCUUAUAGAGACCUACAAUUUGAAUGGCCACAUCAGGUGGAUUUCUUCCCAGAUGAAUCGGGAGAGGAACGGCGAGCUCUACUGUUGCAUUGCUGACACCAGAGGUGCUUUCAUGCAGCCCGCAUUGUACGAGGCCUUCGACCACGGUGUGGUCGAGGCCAUGACAUGUGGCCUACCAACGUUUGCAACGCUCCACGGAGGUCCGGCUGAGAUCAUAGUCCACGGGCAAUCGGGUUUCCACAUCGAUCCUUACGAUGGCGAGCAGGUUGCUCGAACUCUGGUGACCUUUUUUGAUAAGUUUGAGAAGGAGCCUUCCUACUGGGACAUUGUUUCAGUAGGCGGGCUUAAGCGGAUUCAGGAGAAGUAAGUUGAAAAAAAUUUGCCUUCAAAUACACGAGUUUUCAAUUAUAUUGCUAUGAAUUUCCACAUGGUCGCCAAAUUAAUGCUGGGGUGAUGUCUACAAUGUCUACAUGGUUUAAACGGUCGAUGUAUAAAACGACACAGUUGGAUGUCUACGUCGCUUCAGCUAGUUAGAAUGACAUUAAUUUGUCACUUCAGCUAACCAUGAUUUCGGAGGUAUACAUGGCAGAUCUACUCGGAAAGGUUGUUGACAAUGGCGGGAGUUUACAGUUUUUCGAAUUAUGUCUCCAAGUUUCGAUCGCGUAGCCUGCAAGCGCUACCUCCAGAUGUUAUACACACUUCAGUUUCGUAAGUUGGUUGCUGCUGUUCCGCUGGCUAUAGAGUGAAUUAAAGGAGAGGAGAUCGAAUUUCUGUUGGUGUUAAUCAGAAAAUGGAGAUAGCAUAAAGACAGACAUAAAUGGCUCUUUGUUCUUUGUAGUAGUACUUGUUCUUUGGCUCUUUAUUUUAGUAAUUGUUCUUUGAUUAUCUCUAAUAGGAGCCUAUGUUAUUAUAAAUAAUUAAUGUGCAACAAACAAAGAAGUCUUGUACUUAAA